AUUGAGGUUUGUGUGGAUCCUAAUAGAGGUUAAUAAAGAUCCUCUAGUUCUCGAGCUAACAACAAAGCCUAUUCAAUAUAAAGAUUCAAUCUUUAUGCCCUAUUUCAUAUAAAGAUCGAAUCUUUCAACAAGUAGAAGUGAGAUUCCAGUGUUUUGAGACUUGUUAUUGAUUUUACUAUCCACAAACACAUCAUUUGCUUUAUAAUUCUUUUUUUUUAGUUUUAAUGAUAUAGGGGUCCUAUUAUGUUUGUGAGUCUAAUUCCCUCAAAUCAGGUGUGUGUGUUUUAAUUUAACAAUUCGAGUGCAUUGCAUUGAACUUACAAAUUGAGGUUUGUGUGGAUCCUAAUAGAGGUUAAUAAAAGAUCCUCUAGUUCUCGAGCUAACAACAAAGCCUAUUCAAUAUAAAGAUUCAAUCUUUAUGCCCUAUUUCAUAUAAAGAUCGAAUCUUUCAACAAGUAGAAGUGAGAUUCGGGUGUUUUGAGACUUGUUAUUGAUUUUACUAUCCACAAACACAUCAUUUGCUUUAUAAUUCUUUUUUUUUAGUUGUUGAAUGAUAUAGGGGUCCUAUUAUGUUUGUGAGUCUAAUUCCCUCAAAUCAGGUGUGUGUGUGUUUUUUAAUUUAACAAUUCGAGUGCAUUGCAUUGAACUUACAAAUUGAGGUUUGUGUGGAUCCUAAUAGAGGUUAAUAAAAGAUCCUCUAGUUCUCGAGCUAACAACAAAGCCUAUUCAAUAUAAAGAUUCAAUCUUUAUGCCCUAUUUCAUAUAAAGAUCGAAUCUUUCAACAAGUG